CUCAGCUGACGUCACCAUGAUAGUGACAUCUAACAACCUAACAACCUGUAAACACUGUUCUAUACAAACUACUGAUGUCUAACAACUGAUUAUAAGUAAAAUACAAAACAUAGGAAAACUACUGCUUCACUUUCCACUGAUGUAGCCUGAGCACUGAUGUUGAGCAUCAGUGCUUUCUUCAAAGGUGAUCAGUCUUUGAAUGGGCAUGGUUUGCUUGUGUCUUCAGCAGUACUUAGGAAACAGCAGUAGAUAGAGCGUCAGUGCUUGUCUUCAGCAGUCUUUAGAGUUUCAUCAGUGUUUGGUUCAUCAGUUGUUCUAUUGAGCAGUACUUGAGAUCUAUCAGCUGUUAGAUAACCACUGUCAAGGGGAAAGCUUUAAAGUAAACAACUGCUUAUUUAGAAUCCACUGUCAUGAUCCGGUUUUGGCUUUCAUUAUCUGUUCCUCUGGUAGGGUUCAAUCCCAAC
rnacentral:lncRNA from 1 species